rnacentral:tRNA from 1 species
AGCGGGUUGGUGUACUGGUUAACAUUUCACGCUUUCAACGUGAGGCAGCGGGUUCAAUUCCCGUACCCGCUACCA